GAUUUGGUUUUUUUAAAAACCACAAUAUCAACUAUGUAAAUUCUUA
rfam:Acyrthosiphon pisum strain LSR1 Contig40597, whole genome shotgun sequence.